GGACCCUGACGGAGCAGCCAGGGCUCCCAGCUACGGGCCUCCUGGAAGUGCUACCUGGGUUUCCUAGGAAGCCAGCGGAGCCAGCGGGCUUACGAGAUUUUAUAAGAAAAGCCGGUGGGCUCCGAGACAAAGUUAAAAAGCUGCAAGUGUCCCCCACGAACUUCUGGAUCUCCUGUAUCCCCAGCAGACCCUCACCUCCCUGCCUCUGAGGUCAGAGGCCACCUUGAACAGUGGGUCCAAGGAGAGGCACCCGAGGCCCUGCCGAGCAGCACCCCUCUGCCUCACCCAGUAGGCGGAAAGCGAGGGUGAGACGGAGCCCAUGGGUGACAUCGACAGCUGAGAGGGACAGACGCGGGCUCUUUUCAGGAAAUUAAGUAUGAAUCAAAGCUCAGCAACGUGCAUCCAUAUGGAAUUUCGGAGCCUUUAUGUCCACUGCAGAAUUUAACAAAGCUGAGAACACCAAGAAGAAACAACACCCCAAUAGCAAUGUGCACAGCUAGAAGCAAGAUCUUGGUUAGUGAACUGGGCUUCUAGAAGAAAUUGCUGACUUCAGUGCCACAGCAGGAAGUAAGCAAGAUGAGCCUGGAUCAGAAAGACUCAUCAGACUCUUGGUUUCAGCUCAGGUCACGAUCCCACGGGUUGUGAGAUCAAG